rnacentral:rRNA from 1 species
UACAGAGGUCCCAAGCGUUGUUCGGAUUCACUGGGCGUAAAGGGUGCGUAGGUGGCGAGGUAAGUCGGAUGUGAAAGCUCGGAGCUCAACUCCGAAAUGGCAUUGGAAACUACCUUGCUCGAGGGUUGGAGGGGGGACUGGAAUUUACGGUGUAGCGGUGAAAUGCGUAGAUAUCGUAAGGAAGACCAGUGGCGAAGGCGGGUCUCUGGACAGUUCCUGACGCUGAGGCACGAAGGCCAGGGGGAGCAAACGGG